rnacentral:rRNA from 1 species
UACAGAGGUCUCAAGCGUUGUUCGGAAUUACUGGGCGUAAAGGGUGCGCAGGCCGCGCGGGCAGUCAAAUGUGUAAUCCAGGGGCUCAACCCCUGAACUGCGCUUGAUACUUCCGCGCUCGAGCUUUGGGGAGGAGUCUGGAAUUCUCGGUGUAGCAGUGAAAUGCGUGGAUAUCGAGAAGAACACUUAGGGCGUAGGCAGGUCUCUGGGCCACUACUGACGCUGAGAAGCGAAAGCAUGGGGAGCGAACAGG